rnacentral:rRNA from 1 species
UACGUAGGGUGCGAGCGUUGUCCGGAAUUAUUGGGCGUAAAGAGCUUGUAGGCGGUUUGUCGCGUCUGCUGUGAAAAUCCGGGGCUCAACCCCGGACUUGCAGUGGGUACGGGCAGACUAGAGUGUGGUAGGGGAGGACUGGAAUUCCUGGUGUAGCGGUGGAAUGCGCAGAUAUCAGGAGGAACACCGAUGGCGAAGGCAGGUCUCUGGGCCACUACUGACGCUGAGAAGCGAAAGCAUGGGGAGCGAACAGG